AGUGAACGCUGGCGGUAGGCCUAACACAUGCAAGUCGAACGGCAGCACAGUAAGAGCUUGCUCUUACGGGUGGCGAGUGGCGGACGGGUGAGGAAUACAUCGGAAUCUACUUUUUCGUGGGGGAUAACGUAGGGAAACUUACGCUAAUACCGCAUACGACCUACGGGUGAAAGCAGGGGAUCUUCAGACCUUGCGCGAUUGAAUGAGCCGAUGUCGGAUUAGCUAGUUGGCGGGGUAAAGGCCCACCAAGGCGACGAUCCGUAGCUGGUCUGAGAGGAUGAUCAGCCACACUGGAACUGAGACACGGUCCAGACUCCUACGGGAGGCAGCAGAGGGGAAUAUUGGACAAUGGGCGCAAGCCUGAUCCAGCCAUACCGCGUGGGUGAAGAAGGCCUUCGGGUUGUAAAGCCCUUUUGUUGGGAAAGAAAAGCAGCAGGUUAAUACCCCGCUGUUCUGACGGUACCCAAAGAAUAAGCACCGGCUAACUUCGUG
rnacentral:rRNA from 1 species